rnacentral:rRNA from 1 species
AACGAACGCUGGCGGCAUGCCUAACACAUGCAAGUCGAACGAGAUCUUCGGGUCUAGUGGCGCACGGGUGCGUAACGCGUGGGAAUGUGCCCUUUGGGUCGGAAUAACAGUUGGAAACGACUGCUAAUACCGGAUGAUGACGAAAGUCCAAAGAUUUAUCGACAGAGGAUGAGUCCGCGUAGGUUUAGCUAGUUGGUGUGGUAGAGGCGGACCAAGGAGACGAUGCUUAGGUGGUCUGAGAGGAUGAUCAGCCACACUGAGACUGAGACACGGCCCAGACUCAUACGGGAGGCAGCAGUGGGGAAUAUUGGACAAUGGGCGAAAGCCUGAUCCAGCAAUGCCGCGUAAGUGAUUAAGGCCUUAGGGUUGUAAAGCUCUUUUACCCGGGAUUAUAAUGACAGUACCGGGAGAACAAGCUCCGGCUAACUCCGUGCCAGCAGCCGCCGCCG